rnacentral:lncRNA from 1 species
ACGGGAUAAGCCUGUGUGGUACCAACAAUCCAAGCUACACCUGUGACAAAAAACACUGCUGUGGCUCUGGCUGGUGUGGGCCACCAUCAUCAUCCUCUUGAGCUGCUGCUUCGUCUGCUGCCACCGCUGAGCCAAGCACUGUCUUCAGGCCAGGCAGUGGCAACAAGAAAUCAACCCGAUCACCUGUAGGAAGCCCAUGAUUACUCAGCACUGCCACUUUAUCUUCAGUUUUUUGCCAAACUAUUUACUACCUUGUUAUGAGGGAAUGGUUUCCCGAUCUCCAACUCUUCCCCAAACAUAUAGUGACUUCCAGCUAUGGCAUGUGGCCCUUAAGGUGGCAGUGACCCUGGGACUCCCAGGAGGCACAGGGCAGCCCCUUGGCUGGGCCUAGCAGAAGCAGCACAAGACCCCCACUCAUUGCUGACCCUGGGGCCUCUGACACCAGCUGACACAGCAGCCACCAAAGACUUGGGAAUGGAGCCCAGUGUCUGUGUGGCCAGCCUGGGGGAGUUGGGCCGAGGAGCCUUCCUGUGCAAGGAUUUAGAAUAUAUGGAGCAGCUGCUGAAUGAUUACAACUCUGAGCAUGGCAGACUAUCCCCGCCCCUCCCCGCCCCCUUCGCCCCAAGCAAAGAGAAGAUACCAUGUGUGCAACUGGGGCCAACAUGACGAUGGCCCCAAAGCAUUCAACAUGCUCAUCAGUGAUGCUCUGGAUGGCCCCCUGGAUGUCCAUGACAGCUGCCCUGUGCAGUCACCUGGUGACAAGGAGCAAUGCCCCUGCCAGCCAUGCAAGGAGCAAGCUUGAGAGUCUGGGCAUCUGCACCUACCACGGCCCCCAGUCCCUGCUGCUGAGCACCAUGGAUGAACAGAACUCUCCCAACCCCUAGAGCAGCAGCUCC